GUCAAAUUUGACAAUUUCUUCCAACAUUGUCCACUGUCAGUCAGUUGUUUUUGAACUAAAAAGAUUUCCAUCAACAUACUGGGUUUACAAGUAUGGCGAAAGAUGACAGCCCAACAUAGCGAGGAUAGGCGGACCAGAAUGAUCAAAAACGACCAAGCUAAUCUUCAUUUUAACUUUCUUCAUUGAACACGGUUAUCAAAAAUAAUAUUAGUUAAGGGAGGAAACAAUCAACACAAUGAAGUACUGCCAAGAAAUUGAGAGAAGGCAUCACAAUUCAUCAAAAAGAGCUGCUGGCACUGGUGAACAGGAAAGGUGGUAAUCCUGCUGAAUUACAACGUCUUCAUGUCUCAAGUGAUGAAAUAUGUGAAAUACCUUCAGACGAGUUUCGGCAUUUCGCCUUCUUCAGUGUUGAGUCUGAGUAUUUGUACGGAGUCUCCAAGGUGUCCGGACACAAACCCUCCACCAACCACGACCUCGAACAUCUGAUGACCCUGAUCAUUUUGACGUUGACGACCUCGAAACCGAAACUUCACUCCACACAAAUCACCCAUACUCAAGCGAGAUGAGAGGUAUCAUAUUAAUCAACUGUGAGGUAUUGUUGAUUUCAAAAGGUCCGUGAUAAAAUAAUUCAGAAUUGCUAUUAUACACAGGAUCCAAACACGAGAGAAAUGGCCUUUUUUGGCUGCUGAAGUUGACCAUUGAACUAGAACAAAAAUAAAAGGAAGUGAUCCAGGAAAGAGUUGGUAUUUUCUAUGGGAAAUCUAAAUUUAUUUUUCUUGAUUUUUGAAAUGUAUUUUGUAUUAUUCAUUC